GGGCCCGUAGCUCAGCCCGGUAGAGCGGCGGGCUUUUAACCCGUAGGUCCCGGGUUCAAAUCCCGGCGGGCCCG
rnacentral:tRNA from 1 species